rnacentral:rRNA from 1 species
ACGUAGGGCGCGAGCGUUAUCCGGAAUUAUUGGGCGUAAAGAGCUCGUAGGCGGUUUGGCGCGUCUGCCGUGAAAGUCCGGGGCUCAACUCCGGAUCUGCGGUGGGUACGGGCAGACUAGAGUGAUGUAGGGGAGACUGGAAUUCCUGGUGUAGCGGUGAAAUGCGCAGAUAUCAGGAGGAACACCAAUAGCGAAGGCAGCUCGCUGGGACGGUACUGACGCUGAGGCGCGAAAGCGUGGGGAGCAAACAGG